UACGUAGGGUCCAAGCGUUAUCCGGAUUCACUGGGUUUAAAGGGUGCGUAGGUGGGAAUGUAAGUCAGUGGUGAAAUCUCCGUGCUUAACAUGGAAACUGCCAUUGAUACUAUGUUUCUUGAAUUUUCUGGAGGUAAGCGGAAUAUGUCAUGUAGCGGUGAAAUGCUUAGAUAUGACAUAGAACACCAAUUGCGAAGGCAGCUUACUACAGGGAUAUUGACACUGAGGCACGAAAGCGUGGGGAUCAAACAGG
rnacentral:rRNA from 1 species